AAGAAGGGCGCCGUGAAUUGAAGAAGACGAAGACACCAACGUUUCUGUGUCUGAAUUUUUCUUUGAAGAGGAGAAGAAGAAGAAGAACGGCUGCAGCAACGGUGCCGUUUAGGGUUAAUAAAAUGGCUGCAAAAAAAAUUCAUUCCACCUAGAUUAAAUGAGUCCACGUGGAAUUGCCAUGGUGUAAGUCCGGCAAUCCACGUAAGUUUUCGAUUCCCGGAAAAUUUUUACGGGACACGCGUGAUAAAAUUGUGAUAGGUUGGGUACCGUUUUGAUAUUAUCGUUAGGGUGGGACAUUUUUGAGAAUUCGUUGAAACGAUGGGACAGAAAGUGAC
rnacentral:lncRNA from 1 species